rfam:Morus notabilis contig3998, whole genome shotgun sequence.
UCACUUACCUGGACGGGGUCAAUGGGCGAUCAAGAAGGCCUAUGGCCUAGGCUAGUGACCUCCAUUGCACAUCCGGAGGGGUGCUAGCCUAUGGUCUCCUCAAAUAUGGGAGAGCCAACGUCAUAAUUUGUGGUAGAGGGGGCCUGCGUUCGCGCGGCCCCUGC